AACGAACGCUGGCGGCAUGCCUAACACAUGCAAGUCGAACGAGACCUUCGGGUCUAGUGGCGCACGGGUGCGUAACGCGUGGGAAUCUGCCCUUGGGUUCGGAAUAACAGUUAGAAAUGACUGCUAAUACCGGAUGAUGACGUAAGUCCAAAGAUUUAUCGCCCAAGGAUGAGCCCGCGUAGGAUUAGCUUGUUGGUGAGGUAAAGGCUCACCAAGGCGACGAUCCUUAGCUGGUCUGAGAGGAUGAUCAGCCACACUGGGACUGAGACACGGCCCAGACUCCUACGGGAGGCAGCAGUGGGGAAUAUUGGACAAUGGGCGAAAGCCUGAUCCAGCAAUGCCGCGUGAGUGAUGAAGGCCUUAGGGUUGUAAAGCUCUUCUACCCGGGAUGAUAAUGACAGUACCGGGAGAAUAAGCCCCGGCUAACUCCGUGCCAGCCGCCGCAGUAAUAC
rnacentral:rRNA from 1 species